AAGGGACGGGAUGAGCUUAGAGAAUUGAAGAGGCGAAAGAAGGUUGCUCUUUUUCUGGUAGGGACGCGAUGAGUGGGAAUAGAACGGAGAAGCGAGUGCAGUGGCGGAGAUAAACGGACAGAGGUAAGUGGUUUAUACCACUUCACUACACUUACCAUUUGCUGUGUCUUUCUGUUUCUUUUCGUGGCCUUGUGAUAUUCCGCUCUCUCCCCUGUUUUAGCUUUUUCGUCCAGUAUUAAAUACAUUAUAUGUAAUAUAAAAUAAAAUAGAAAAAACUAAUAAUUAAAUAACUAAUAUAUAAAUAUAAUGAAUUUAGAAUUCAUAAUUCUAUUAAAAUUAGUAUCAUGUGAAAUAGACGAAAUUUAUUUAAAGAUGUGACUAUUUAAGUUUAUGAAAAUCUAAAUAUAUAUAUUUGAGCUGUCAACUGUACUUUGAUCAAAAAAUUGGAAGUUCAUAUGCGGCUUUUGCCAAUUUUUUUACGACUCGUAAUAAACUCAAAGAUACCAACUUUAACGUGGGUUUUUUUAUAAAUAAAAUUAUCUUCAUAAUAAUUUUAAUUAUAUUAAGAAUUUUUACAGCCUAUUGCCUGGUAGCCAAGAGUCUUGAAACUUCAAGGUGAGUUUGAUUUGAUGUAUUAUUUUGAUUAUUGGUGUUUGAUUCACUUAAACUACUUUUAACAUAAAAAUAAAACACUUUUCGUUCCAUCUCAGAUUUCUUCAAUUCCAAUUUCAAAUGCUGCUUAUGAAGUUUUAAGAUUGUAGCGUUCAUUAUGUACAAAGAAAUGGUCUAACAAUAUUCUAAUGCAAAAAUAAUAUAUUUCAAAUACUUUAUAAAAAUAACGCUAAGAGGCAAACAAUGUAGACAAUUUGGCAAUUGAGAGCAGAAUAGUCAUCACAACUAGCUCUUGAUUCCUGAAUUAAGUUUCAAAUUAAUGCUAAGACGUAGCAGUCUGAUCUUGGCAUGUAAUUGGGUAUCGCUGAUCAAUUUCCAAAUUCACAAAACAAACGUUUGAAAAAUCUAUGCAUUCGAUGCGAGUAACUUGAGAAUAUACAGGAAAACAUGAUCACAUAACUAGUGUAGGGGAAAGAAGCUGUUCUGUUAAGCAUCUCAGCAUACUCGUUGAAACAGUUACAUGCCAAAAUUCGAUUAUCAGAUUUCACAAUGUUGUUAGCCUGUGUUUUUAUCCUAAGGAAUUUGCCACCUCGAAAAGAAUUUGUCUUAUCUACUAAAUGCUCCAAGGUUCCCAACUCGUAGUGCAUGCAACAAAGAAAUGUGUACUGUACUAUUUGAUUGUGAGAAGAUUUUCAUCCUGAUGUGAUAAGAAGCCUCUCUCUCUCUCUUCUGAUCAUGCUACAGAACAUACUUUAUCUGCAAAUCAAAAGCUGGCCAUUAAAUAAAAAGAAAAACCUUAACUAGAAAAGGUUGAAUUCAUCAAAAUGAAGCAUGGCAGCAUGUUCACCUUGUUUAAUGCUACUGCAGCAAAGGCGAUUGUCAUCUAUAUAGGUUGCUUGUAAACCCAUCAUCCAAGAUCCCACUGAUGUAUCAUCAUGGGCAUACAUCUUUAGAGAUGCACUGCAUACAAUAAGGAAUUCAAGAAAAGAUUUAUUAUGCAGAUUGUAAUUGAUGUUUAUGAUCAUGAGCAGCGCAAGUCUAGUAUUUAAGAGAAGACAAAUAAUGUAGUGUGAAAUUUCUGAACCUAGACUUAAAACAAGAACUCAGCAACUUAUCUCUUCAAAAUUCUCUAUUAUUUAUCGAUAAGCACUACUCACAACCAUAACCUAAGUUUAUCCUCACUCACUCCCACAGAGUAAUUCUCAAAUCUAAAACCAAAACUUCCUCAGUUGCAGUAUCUACAACUAACCUGUUUAUGUUAAUAUACUGAGCCAAAUUUUUGGAGAGUAUGAAAAGUGAACCAGAUGCAUGCCGGAAGUAUCUGAAACACAAAAUAAGAAUUUGGUCAGAUUUCAUAUUGUGGCCACUCCAGCAGCAUUGAGUAUAUCAUUGAUACAUUAGAACACUUACGAUUUCUCAUCCCCGAAUUUCCACCAGUCGGGCUCAUACCAUUGCUUUCCCCUAAAAAUCAAUACAAGUUGACAAACUUAAAUCUGAUGUCCCAGAACCAAAAUAAGAAAAUAAUUGAUCCACAUAGUGGAUAGUUUACACAAAAUAGAACUGGCAAAUGAGAACUUUCAAACCAAGUUCACAGUAAUCAUUAUAGGAUUAAGUAAUUACAAGUACAGAUAAUAGAGCUAUAAAUAGGGUUCAAACAUAAGUAUUCUACCACUUGACAGGAUAAUAACACCUAUGCAAGAGGCACAAUCAGCUAGGAGAAUUGAUCUGUGCAAUAAAAACCCAGUAACUUCAGUUAAUCACAACUAUACUAAAACAAGAUAUUAUAAAGCACCUACUCUUCAGUAAUCACAUCUCCUGACUUCAUGCACCCAACAUAAGCACUAUCUUGACCACGACGGCGUUCAAGAAGUCCAAUUAACCCCUCUGUGAUAGAAGAAAGAACCAAUAAAAGGAAAAUUCUAAGGAAUAAUUGGAAGUACACAAAUAGUGCUGCUUUAGGAAAAUCAAUGAGAAUUUGAAGAGAUACCAAGAUCCAAAUUUAUAUUGUCGUCAACUUUCACAUAAAAUUCUGCAUCCCAUUUUUGUACGGCAGUGCUAAAGAAGAAUUUUGCUUUCUUUGGAAUUUCUUCUUGUGCCUCCUCAUGACCAUCCUGAUGAAUUAAUAAGUGCACUCAGACUCUUUGCUUUAAAUGUUCCUAAAGUCCACAUAAUAGUAGCAGGAGAUUGCAGAAAUAUAUAUUUGACAAACUUAAAAACGAACCAUAAAAUUCUAUCACCUACAAGUAUCAAGAAAUCCUUUGUUGAGCUAUUUUCCUCGUCAAUAUUUCGAUCUAAGCUAUCACCUCGAUUGGCACUGCACAGUUUCAAACAAAUAAAGUUACUAUGAAGUCCAUUGCAUCAAAUAGCACAAUAUAAGAACCAAGGAAAUUGAUAAGUCGGGGAAAAGAAAGGCUCAAAUAAGGUCUAGUGUGAAGGAAAACCUCCGCCCAAUUACAAAACGUAUCACUACUCCUCUUUCCUCAAGUUUUUUUAAAGCAUCACCUACACCGAAGACAUCAUGUGAAAAUCUCGAAAUUAAUGAUAAUAUUUUAAUUGGUAUCAGUUACAAUGUGAAACCAAUAAAGAAAGAUGGAAAUAUCACGCAAGAUGACAGCAAUAAACAAUAAUAGUGCAGUCACUCUACAAUAAUAAAAUCUCUUUGAUAAACAAACAAUAAUAGUAGGCAGUGCAACGGAAAUGAUUACCCAGAUAAUUCAAUAAUCUGAUCUCAAAUAGUCAUAAUCCACAGUAGGAUAAUAGAAAGCACAAAAUGCUAGAAGAAGUUGUUUUUGCAGAUUAAGUCUCAAACUAAAAAGUGUUACAAAUCUCAAAGUGCAAGAAGUGGAACUAAAAGCCAAAACAUCAUUAAAACUAUCUGAAAAAACUAACCUCAUUCUUAUUAGUAACAUACAUAUCUUUCCGAAGGGGAAUAGAUUCGAUAAAAAGACAAAUGUACAGCAAUCAAAAUCCUAACUGACCUCUAGGCAUCCAUGACCCUCGAAACACAUUUCGCUUUAAGCGACUGCCAAAUCCAGUAUAAACUCCAAUAACUGCAAGAAGUUUUUUGCCUGAAGAAGAAGACCCACUAUGUGGUAACUGAUUCUUAAGGUACCCUUGACUUUUGGCCAAUGUCAAUUCCAUUUCAGCCUCCACAAUCCUCCUCUCCAGAUCUCUACAUUUCAACACUAUUAUAGUACCAAUAAAAAUAAAAUAACCCACUAUCUUCGGCUCAUAAAAUUUAAUUUCAAUGAGAAAAAUGGAACAUACUUGCAUCCUAGAACAGCUAGCUUAUCUUCAACAGUAAGAACCCUGGGUCUCUGCCAAAAUUAAUUAAAAAUAAAAUGAUGUAAGAUCACAAGAAUUUAAAAUCAACCGAAAAAAGAGAGUAGUAAGCGAAAGCAAACCUGAGCUGAAUUCAAUUUAAGAAGAUUAGAAAGCAACAUUCUGUUUUCCGCGUCUUGCCAUAAACUGGUGAUUUCCAAAAGAUUUUCAUGUUUUGGAUUGAAAAAGAAAAGGCAUUAAUUAUUAUUUAACAUAACUAUAUUUUAUACAGGCAACCUGUUUGGUUAGAAGAGAAAUUGUAAUUAUCGAAUCGGGAGAAACAAUCAGAAGAAGGAAAAACGAACCGUCCGGCAACAUAGAGCCAAGCGAGGCAGGAGAAGAAAGCCAUA
rnacentral:lncRNA from 1 species